rnacentral:rRNA from 1 species
UACGGAGGGUGCGAGCGUUGUCCGGAAUCACUGGGCGUAAAGGGCGCGUAGGCGGCCCGCGCAAGCGUGCGGUGAAAGCCCGGGGCUCAACCCCGGGUCGGCCGUGCGGACUGCGGGGCUCGAGCACUGUAGGGGCAGAUGGAAUUCCGGGUGUAGCGGUGGAAUGCGUAGAGAUCCGGAAGAACACCGGUGGCGAAGGCGGUUCUCUGGGACGGUACUGACGCUGAGACGCGAAAGCGUGGGGAGCGAACAGG